CACACUAGGUCACUACAAAUGGGCCACUGAAGAACCUGGCACUGGCCGCUAUCACUGGCCCCAGCUGCAGUGCUGCUUGCUGUUCACAGAUUAAGACCCUGGGGCUUGGAGACAGCAAGUGACUGUCCCAAGAUCACUCAGCUGAUAAGUGAUGGAGCCAGGAUUCCAGCCUAGACUGUCUGACUGCAAGGGGCUUGAACUUUUCACCGUAACGCAGAUUGUGAAUUCCAUGAAAGCAGGGACUGUGCUUUCUGAGUCUCUAGCCAAGCACCUGCC
rnacentral:lncRNA from 1 species